GGUUAAGCGACUAAGCGUACACGGUGGAUGCCCUGGCAGUCAGAGGCGAUGAAGGGCGUGCUAAUCUGCGAUAAGCGCCGGUAAGGUGAUAUGAACCGUUAUAACCGGCGAUACCCGAAUGGGGAAACCCAGUGUGAUUCGUCACACUAUCAUUAACUGAAUCCAUAGGUUAAUGAGGCGAACCGGGGGAACUGAAACAUCUAAGUACCCCGAGGAAAAGAAAUCAACCGAGAUUCCCCCAGUAGCGGCGAGCGAACGGGGAGGAGCCCAGAGCCUGAAUCAGCAUGUGUGUUAGUGGAAGCGUCUGGAAAGGCGCGCGAUACAGGGUGACAGCCCCGUACACAAAAGCGCAUGUGCUGUGAGCUCGAUGAGUAGGGCGGGACACGUGGUAUCCUGUCUGAAUAUGGGGGGACCAUCCUCCAAGGCUAAAUACUCCUGACUGACCGAUAGUGAACCAGUACCGUGAGGGAAAGGCGAAAAGAACCCCGGCGAGGGGAGUGAAAAAGAACCUGAAACCGUGUACGUACAAGCAGUGGGAGCACCCUUUGGGGUGUGACUGCGUACCUUUUGUAUAAUGGGUCAGCGACUUAUAUUCUGUAGCAAGGUUAACCGUAUAGGGGAGCCGUAGGGAAACCGAGUCUUAACCGGGCGUUAAGUUGCAGGGUAUAGACCCGAAACCCGGUGAUCUAGCCAUGGGCAGGUUGAAGGUUGGGUAACACUAACUGGAGGACCGAACCGACUAAUGUUGAAAAAUUAGCGGAUGACCUGUGGCUGGGGGUGAAAGGCCAAUCAAACCGGGAGAUAGCUGGUUCUCCCCGAAAGCUAUUUAGGUAGCGCCUCGUGAAUUCAUCUCCGGGGGUAGAGCACUGUUUCGGCUAGGGGGCCAUCCCGGCUUACCAACCCGAUGCAAACUGCGAAUACCGGAGAAUGUUAUCACGGGAGACACACGGCGGGUGCUAACGUCCGUCGUGAAGAGGGAAACAACCCAGACCGCCAGCUAAGGUCCCAAAGUCAUGGUUAAGUGGGAAACGAUGUGGGAAGGCCCAGACAGCCAGGAUGUUGGCUUAGAAGCAGCCAUCAUUUAAAGAAAGCGUAAUAGCUCACUGGUCGAGUCGGCCUGCGCGGAAGAUGUAACGGGGCUAAACCAUGCACCGAAGCUGCGGCAGCGACACUAUGUGUUGUUGGGUAGGGGAGCGUUCUGUAAGCCUGUGAAGGUGUGUCGUGAGGCAUGCUGGAGGUAUCAGAAGUGCGAAUGCUGACAUAAGUAACGAUAAAGCGGGUGAAAAGCCCGCUCGCCGGAAGACCAAGGGUUCCUGUCCAACGUUAAUCGGGGCAGGGUGAGUCGACCCCUAAGGCGAGGCCGAAAGGCGUAGUCGAUGGGAAACGGGUUAAUAUUCCCGUACUUGGUGUUACUGCGAAGGGGGGACGGAGAAGGCUAUGUUGGCCGGGCGACGGUUGUCCCGGUUUAAGCGUGUAGGUGUGUGUUCCAGGUAAAUCCGGUUCACUUUAACACUGAGGCGUGAUGACGAGGCACUACGGUGCUGAAGCAACAAAUGCCCUGCUUCCAGGAAAAGCCUCUAAGCAUCAGGUAACAUCAAAUCGUACCCCAAACCGACACAGGUGGUCAGGUAGAGAAUACCAAGGCGCUUGAGAGAACUCGGGUGAAGGAACUAGGCAAAAUGGUGCCGUAACUUCGGGAGAAGGCACGCUGACACGUAGGUGAAGUGAUUUACUCAUGGAGCUGAAGUCAGUCGAAGAUACCAGCUGGCUGCAACUGUUUAUUAAAAACACAGCACUGUGCAAACACGAAAGUGGACGUAUACGGUGUGACGCCUGCCCGGUGCCGGAAGGUUAAUUGAUGGGGUCAGCGCAAGCGAAGCUCCUGAUCGAAGCCCCGGUAAACGGCGGCCGUAACUAUAACGGUCCUAAGGUAGCGAAAUUCCUUGUCGGGUAAGUUCCGACCUGCACGAAUGGCGUAAUGAUGGCCAGGCUGUCUCCACCCGAGACUCAGUGAAAUUGAACUCGCUGUGAAGAUGCAGUGUACCCGCGGCAAGACGGAAAGACCCCGUGAACCUUUACUAUAGCUUGACACUGAACAUUGAGCCUUGAUGUGUAGGAUAGGUGGGAGGCUUUGAAGUGUGGACGCCAGUCUGCAUGGAGCCGACCUUGAAAUACCACCCUUUAAUGUUUGAUGUUCUAACGUGGACCCGUAAUCCGGGUUGCGGACAGUGUCUGGUGGGUAGUUUGACUGGGGCGGUCUCCUCCUAAAGAGUAACGGAGGAGCACGAAGGUUGGCUAAUCCUGGUCGGACAUCAGGAGGUUAGUGCAAUGGCAUAAGCCAGCUUGACUGCGAGCGUGACGGCGCGAGCAGGUGCGAAAGCAGGUCAUAGUGAUCCGGUGGUUCUGAAUGGAAGGGCCAUCGCUCAACGGAUAAAAGGUACUCCGGGGAUAACAGGCUGAUACCGCCCAAGAGUUCAUAUCGACGGCGGUGUUUGGCACCUCGAUGUCGGCUCAUCACAUCCUGGGGCUGAAGUAGGUCCCAAGGGUAUGGCUGUUCGCCAUUUAAAGUGGUACGCGAGCUGGGUUUAGAACGUCGUGAGACAGUUCGGUCCCUAUCUGCCGUGGGCGCUGGAGAACUGAGGGGGGCUGCUCCUAGUACGAGAGGACCGGAGUGGACGCAUCACUGGUGUUCGGGUUGUCAUGCCAAUGGCACUGCCCGGUAGCUAAAUGCGGAAGAGAUAAGUGCUGAAAGCAUCUAAGCACGAAACUUGCCCCGAGAUGAGUUCUCCCUGAGACUUAGAGUCUCCUGAAGGAACGUUGAAGACGACGACGUUGAUAGGCCGGGUGUGUAAGCGCAGCGAUGCGUUGAGCUAACCGGUACUAAUGAACCGUGAGGCUUAACCUU
rnacentral:rRNA from 1 species